AAGGACCUUCUUCAAUUGGAACUUGAUAGUGGACUUAACCUCGGUGAUUUUACCGUAAAGGUCGUCAGCAUGGGAGACAGGGGAAGGGAACUUACCAGCCUUGGAAAGACCGGGACCCAACAGACGAGGAAUUUGCUUGAUGAGGACUUCAGAAGCAAUGAAAGCAUCAUACUUCUUGGCCAACUUCUUGACAAGCUUCUUGUUCUUGUUAAGCUUUUUCAAGUCAUCGACGGACAUAGCAUCGACACCACCGUGCUUGGCACGAUCCAAAUCAUGGGCAUCACCGAGAAUGCAAAUGGCCAUGUUGGGACGAGGAACAUUGGGCAACUUGAUAGUACCGGAGAA